GUGCUUGCUUUGGCAGCACAUAUGCUAAAAUUGGAACGAUACAGAGAAGGUUAGUAUGGGCCCUACUCAAGGGUGACAUGCAAAUUCGUGAAGCGUUCCCUAUUUUU
ensembl:snRNA U6 U6 spliceosomal RNA